GAGUAGUAUCCAUCAUAUUAUUAUAAUUUUGAAUAAUAGGAUCACGAUAUGGUAUAGCGAUACAAUAUCGAAUACUAUAAUGACAAGUUGGUAUAGUGAUACAAUAUCGAAUACUAUAAUGACAAGUAGGUAUAGCGAUACGAUAUCGAAUACUAUAAUGACAAGUUAGUAUAGCGAUACAAUAUCGAAUACUAUAAUGACAAGUUGGUAUAGUGAUACAAUAUCGAAUACUAUAAUGACAAGUAGGUAUAGUGGUACAAUAUCGAAUACUAUAAUGACAAGUUGGUAUAGCGAUACAAUAUCGAAUACUAUAAUGACAAGUUGGUAUAGUGAUACAAUAUCGAAUACUAUAAUGACAAGUAGGUAUAGCGAUACAAUAUCGAAUACUAUAAUGACAAGUUAGUAUAGUGAUACAAUAUCGAAUACUAUAAUGA